GACGAACGCUGGCGGCGUGCUUAACACAUGCAAGUCGUACGGUAAGGCCCUUUCGGGGGUACACGAGUGGCGAACGGGUGAGUAACACGUGAGUAACCUGCCCACAACUUUGGGAUAACGCUAGGAAACUGGUGCUAAUACUGGAUAUGUGCUCCUGCUGCAUGGUGGGGGUUGGAAAGCUCCGGCGGUUGGGGAUGGACUCGCGGCCUAUCAGCUUGUUGGUGGGGUAGUGGCCUACCAAGGCGGCGACGGGUAGCCGGCCUGAGAGGGUGACCGGCCACAUUGGGACUGAGAUACGGCCCAGACUCCUACGGGAGGCAGCAGUGGGGAAUAUUGCACAAUGGGCGGAAGCCUGAUGCAGCAACGCCGCGUGCGGGAUGACGGCCUUCGGGUUGUAAACCGCUUUCAGCAGGGACGAAGCUUUUUGUGACGGUACCUGCAGAAGAAGCACCGGCUAACUACGU
rnacentral:rRNA from 1 species